ACUGUUCCAUGCGCUAAAGUGAUACCUUCAUAAAUCUUUCAUUGCUUUUCUGAACAAAUCAUCGCCUUCGAUGAAGAUGGGAAUAAAAAUAGCUGCUUCUGCAAUUGAUCUGAUUCGUGGAAGACGAACUGCGGCUAAAUCUUCGCUUGAAUUCGGUAAUUUUUUUUUACCAUUCGCUUAAUUCUGUCGAAUUUCAUAAUUUUAGUCGUAAUUACAAACCUUUUUCAUUUAAGCUGCCCUAGAAUAGAUUUGAGCUGUCUUGAUGAAUUGAAUGAUGCUAUUCAGAUAUUGAUUUCACGAAACUGUCAAAGGGCUAUAUUGUUAAAUUGAAACACUAGUCUGUUCCCUUUGGACGAAAUGCGUCUGAGGGUGUGAACCCGUGGACGAUUAUACGUUUAAUAUUGCGUUUAAUUGUUAUUGCCUUCUGAAACGUGUAGGACUGGUUUUGCUGUAAUGGCCACCAUCUUCAAGAGCCGAUACGAAUAUGCUGUCUUUUUUUAGAUGGGAAAUUUGAGACUGUGUGAACCUAAUGAUGUUAUGAUAUACUUUUGAGAUAUUAUCUACGAUGGUCGACAAGGGUAUUUCACGUAUGAAGAAUGUUGUCUUCAUUAAUGUGACGAUGAUGGUCGACAAGGGUUACCUGUGAAGAAUGUUGUAUGUUCGUCCAAUGAUAAGUAUUUCACCAAGAUGUUGUAUCUUUGAUAAAGAACCGGUGAAGAAUGUGAAUGUGGUAUGUUCGAAGGGUAGUUAAAAAAAGUUAUACAGAUGUUGUACCUUACACGGAUGUUGUAGGGUUGACGGAGGAUAAGUUAUUACUAUGUUUUAUGGUCGACAAACAAAUGAUAAGUUAUUAUGUUUUAUGCUCGACAAAUGACAAAUAUUUUAUAUAGUUGAUAAAGGUAUUUCAUUUGUGAAGUAUGUUGUCUUUGUUCAUGACGAUCAAAAUGUGAUGAUCGAAGUGUGUUUUCGUUAAUGAUGUUGUCAUGUCUUUGACGAUGUUCGAUAAAUGUAUUUCACUUGUGAAUGAUGUUUUUGUGAAGUAUGUUGUCUUCGGUGUAACGCAUGUAAAAAUAUUAUCCAAAAUGAGAAAUGAUUCAUAAAAUUGAUGUC
rnacentral:lncRNA from 1 species